rnacentral:rRNA from 1 species
CCUGCAGACCAUACCUGCUUGUUUAUGACCAAUCUCAUCAGAUCUCUAAAGCUAAGCAAGGUGGGGCCUGGAUUGUACAUGAAUGGAAGACGCCUGGGAAUACCACGUGCCACGA